GACUCACGGAUUUGCAACAUGUCCUUCUCCUCUUUUUUUUUUUUUUUUCUUUUUUUUUCUAAUCUGUAAAAAAACCAAAAUUUUACAAUCUCGAUAAUCCUUUUAAUGUCUAUAGUCAUCAAACACGUUUAUCUACUUACUCAAUACGAUAAUGUACAAUAAUUCCAUACGAAACUUGCCCUUAUCUGUUUUAGUUUUUUGUGGCACACCGUUAACUAAUCGUGAAUAAAAUGGUUAUUACAGUCAUAGUCCGGUUUAAUCGGA